UAGGGAAUCUUCCACAAUGGACGCAAGUCUGAUGGAGCAACGCCGCGUGAGUGAAGAAGGUUUUCGGACCGUAAAGCUCUGUUGUUGGUGAAGAAGGAUAGAGGUAGUAACUGGCCUUUAUUUGACGGUAAUCAACCAGAAAGUCACGGCUAACUACGUGCCAGCAGCCGCGGUAAUACGUAGGUGGCAAGCGUUGUCCGGAUUUAUUGGGCGUAAAGCGAGCGCAGGCGGAAGAAUAAGUCUGAUGUGAAAGCCCUCGGCUUAACCGAGGAAUUGCAUCGGAAACUGUUUUCUUGAGUGCAGAAGAGGAGAGUAGAACUCCAUGUGUAGCGGUGGAAUGCGUAGAUAUAUGGAAGAAUACCAGUGGCGAAGGCGGCUCUCUGGUCUGCAACUGACGCUGAGGCUCGAAAGCAUGGGUAGCGAACAGGAUUAGAU
rnacentral:rRNA from 1 species